rnacentral:rRNA from 1 species
UCUCCUGGAAACGGGUGGUAAUGCCGGAUGCUCCGACAUGACGCAUGUCGUGUCGGGAAAGAUUCUAUCGGUAUGGGAUGGGGUCGCGUCCUAUCAGCUUGAUGGCGGGGUAACGGCCCACCAUGGCUUCGACGGGUAGCCGGCCUGAGAGGGCGACCGGCCACAUUGGGACUGAGAUACGGCCCAGACUCCUACGGGAGGCAGCAGUGGGGAAUAUUGCACAAUGGGCGCAAGCCUGAUGCAGCGACGCCGCGUGCGGGAUGACGGCCUUCGGGUUGUAAACCGCUUUUGACUGGGAGCAAGCCCUUCGGGGUGAGUGUACCUUUCGAAUAAGCACCGGCUAACUACGUGCCAGCAGCCGCGGUAAUACGUAGGGUGCAAGCGUUAUCCGGAAUUAUUGGGCGUAAAGGGCUCGUAGGCGGUUCGUCGCGUCCGGUGUGAAAGUCCAUCGCUUAACGGUGGAUCCGCGCCGGGUACGGGCGGGCUUGAGUGCGGUAGGGGAGACUGGAAUUCCCGGUGUAACGGUGGAAUGUGUAGAUAUCGGGAAGGACACCCA